rnacentral:rRNA from 1 species
GGCGGCACUAGCGCGGUGGUCCCACCUGACCCCAUGCCGAACUCAGAAGGGAAACGCCGUAGCGCCGAUGGUAGUGUGGGGUCUCCCCAUGUGAGAGUAGGGAAUCGCCAGGC